UACGGAGGAUCCAAGCGUUAUCCGGAAUCAUUGGGUUUAAAGGGUCCGUAGGCGGUUUGGUAAGUCAGUGGUGAAAGCCCAUCGCUCAACGGUGGAACGGCCAUUGAUACUGCCAGACUUGAAUUAUUAGGAAGAACUAGAAUAUGUAGUGUAGCGGUGAAAUGCUUAGAGAUUACAUGGAAUACCAAUUGCGAAGGCAGGUUACUACUAAUGGAUUGACGCUGAUGGACGAAAGCGUGGGUAGCGAACAGG
rnacentral:rRNA from 1 species